UACGGGGGGUGCAAACGUUGCUCGGAAUUACUGGGCGUAAAGGGCUCGUAGGCGGCCAACUAAGUCGGACGUGAAAUCCCUCGGCUUAACCGGGGAACUGCGUCCGAUACUGGAUGGCUUGAGUUUGGGAGAGGGAUGCGGAAUUCCAGGUGUAGCGGUGAAAUGCGUAGAUAUCUGGAGGAACACCGGUGGCGAAGGCGGCAUCCUGGACCAACACUGACGCUGAGGAGCGAAAGCCAGGGGAGCAAACGGG
rnacentral:rRNA from 1 species